rnacentral:tRNA from 1 species
GCCCGGUUGGCUCAGUGGUUGAGCAUCUGCCUUGGCUCAGGGUCCUGGGAUCGAGUCCCACAUCGGGCU